ACGAAGGGGGCUAGCGUUGUUCGGAAUUACUGGGCGUAAAGCGCACGUAGGCGGUUUUCCAAGUUGGAGGUGAAAUCCCUGGGCUCAACCCGGGAACUGCCUCCAAAACUGGAUCACUCGAGUCCGAGAGAGGUGAGUGGAAUUUCCAGUGUAGAGGUGAAAUUCGUAGAUAUUGGAAAGAACACCAGUGGCGAAGGCGGCUCACUGGCUCGGUACUGACGCUGAGGUGCGACAGCGUGGGGAGCAAACAG
rnacentral:rRNA from 1 species